rnacentral:tRNA from 1 species
GCCCGGUUAGCUCAGUCGGUAGAGCACCUGACUCUUAGUCUGGCGGUGGCGGGAUUCGAGCCACGCAUCGGGCU